rnacentral:rRNA from 1 species
AGUGGCGCACGGGUGCGUAACGCGUAUGCAACCUACCCAUAAUUGGAACAUAACGUUGAGAAAUUAGCGCUAAUAUUCCAUGUGAAUAUGAUAAGGCAUCUUAUUAUAUUUAAAGAUUCAUUGAUUAUGGAUGGGCAUGCGUAUCAUUAGCUAGUUGGUGAGGUAACGGCUCACCAAGGCGACGAUGAUUAGGGGUUCUGAGAGGAUUUCCCCCCACACUGGAACUGAGACACGGUCCAGACUCCUGCGGGAGGCAGCAGUAGGGAAUAUUGGGCAAUGGAAGCAAUUCUGACCCAGCCAUGCCGCGUGAAGGAAUACAGCCCUAUGGGUUUUAAACUUCUUUUAUUAUAGAGUAAACGGAGGUACGUGUACCUCCCUGCAAGUAUAUGAUGAAUAAGGAUCGGCUAACUCCGUGCCAGCAGCCGCGGUAAUACGGAGGAUCCAAGCGUUAUCCGGAUUUAUUGGGUUUAAAGGGUGCGCAGGCGGACUAAUAAGUCAGGGGUGAAAAGUUUCAGCUUAACUGAAAUCGUGCCUUUGAUACUGUUAGACUAGAGUAUAAUUGACGUGACUGGAAUGUGAUGUGUAGCGGUGAAAUGCUUAGAUAUGUCACAGAACGCCAAUCGUGAAGACAGGUCACGAAAUUAUUACUGACGCUCAUGCACGAAAGCGUGGGGAUCAAACAGGAUUAGAUACCCUGGUAGUCCACGCU